CAGCCGCCGCGGGAAAACGAAGGGGGCUAGCGUUGUUCGGAUUAACUGGGCGUAAAGGGCGCGUAGGCGGGUCUUUAGGUCAGGGGUGAAAUCCCAAGGCUCAACCUUGGAACUGCCUUUGAUACUGGAGAUCUUGAGUCCGGGAGAGGUGAGUGGAACUGCGAGUGUAGAGGUGAAAUUCGUAGAUAUUCGCAAGAACACCAGUGGCGAAGGCGGCUCACUGGCCCGGUACUGACGCUGAGGCGCGAAAGCGUGGGGAGCAAACAGGAUUAGAUACCCCGGUAGUCCCUGUCUCUUAUAC
rnacentral:rRNA from 1 species